rnacentral:misc_RNA from 1 species
CGACACCCCUAUUGGUCUCGCCGAUGAUGUUCUUUCUCGGACUUUCAAUUGUCGUAAGGGGAGGGCAUAUCUGUUCAGCAAUGUGUAAGUAAUACCAACUCUCUCUAUCUGCACUUUCUUAUUUAUUAAUUCUUUUUUUUUUUUUUGGCGCAUUCUUCUGGAAGUUCUUUGGAGAAUUGGCUGGAUGUAUGUUCGAAGAGGAGGUGGACAGGUGGUCAAUUUGAAUGCAUGUGAAAUUUAGAGAGGAUCAAUUUUGCACUUGGGAUUGUUGUUUGAUUUUAGCGAUGCUGUUUUGAAAAUAAGUUCACAUUAACCUGGCAGGGAAUUACUUGUUGAUGGUAAACAUAGGAUUUUGUGCAAUAUCCCUCGUAACAUCCUCCUACCAAAACCUGUUUCCCCAAACCACACCCUCCAAUAUAUUUUGCUAUUCAAACUGCACCUGUAUUUCCUUAUACAGUGUUUUUGGUAUUUGAAUCAGUUAUUCAACAAAUUAAUUUAGAGCAAUUAACCUUUGAUGUGUGUUUGGUUAUGUUUUAAGAUUAUCCCAUGUGCCAGAUCUUGCAAGUGAAAGAAAAUAUAAAAUUCAAAGUUUCUUCUUUUCUUGAAUCUCUAGGAAAUUAAAGUGAAUUUUCCAAUAAUAAGAAUCCAACCUUUCCUGUCCUACAGGGUGAACAUAUCAUUUGGGGCUGUGGAAGAGAGGUUUAUGCUUUCUGGUAUGCAUACUGUGGGAGAUAUAUUCUGUUGUUGCUGUGGACAACUGCUUGGGUGGAAAUAU